UUAAGUGCCUUUCAAAGGAGGGGGGCUUGCGGACCGAAUUCUGCCGCGUGCAUCUCAGCCGCCCCCCCCCCGGUCCUGCGAGGCCUAUGUGCGACGGCGUCGGGGGGGUGCCUUUCCUCUCCCCCCAAUAAGAAAGCGCAUGCUGGCUGGAGAGACCUUUUAAUUCCCGUUUUUCCCUCCUCCUCCGCGUUUGAUGUGGACGGAUCGCGGAGCCCUCCCCAGGUCGACUCGGGAGCGACCCUUAAGCCGGACCAAACGGGGGGAGGUGGGAUUUUUUUCGCCGCCGCCGGCACGCGCCUCCCCGGUUCGAAGUAGCGAACUGCCCGCUCCUUUUUCCUUAACGAAUUGCAGGGAGUGGGUCGCGAUGCAAUCUGAUAUAUAGAGAGGGAGACAUAAUAUUUUGUGCAAGUUACCCCUGCGGGGAGUCGAAUUUUAAAACACGAUGCGUCUUUUGGGGUUCCCCUCUGUUUGGAAAGAGAUUCAAGGAGAGAAGAAAAAAAAUUGAUUUUUUCCUCUUCAAUGUUUAAGGAGUUACCUGUGCGGCAAGCUUCCCAGGUUGUUGUUGUAUUAUUAUUAUUAUUACUACUACUAGUACUAUUUCACGCACACCCCAACUUUACGUCUCCCGGCCUUUUCUUCCAUUUUCCCCCAGCUAAUUUUCCACCGUGCUUUCUCCUUAAAUUUUGGCCUCUGCUUUUUUCACUCCUCUUUUGUUAACAGGUUCAGGAAAAUGGCUUGAACAGGAACCAGGCGGGUAAGUAUCGGUUUCAAAUCGGCGUUUGGAUUAAAUUAUCCUUUCUUUCUUUGUUUUUCUAAGGAAAAGAAAAUCGGAUAUUUAGCUAUCAUUCCAGAAGGGGAAACUAACCAAGAUCGAGGGGGGAAAGAAGAGUGGAGGCAUUUGGAAAAGGGAAGGAGCCCCUAAAUUUAUCAAGUGACCCCGGAUAUAGAGAGAAGGUGGAACCCAGCAGAGGAAAAGUGCUGGGCUGAGAAAGGAUUAGAAACAAAACGCCUUGGACAUGGAAGGCAAUUUUUCGAUCCGGGGAGAGUGAAGGAAGCCAACGAUUAGAAAGAAAGCUCAUUUUCUUCAAACGAAAAUAUCUCGGCAAGGGCAGACGAGGACUCCUCCUGAUUUCUCUGCUGUGCCUGGGUUCCGAGGACGCAUUUAACCGGUCAAUGACAAUCUUAGAAGAUGCAUUCACACGACUUGCUAAAUCUGAUGGGGUGUAAUUUCAGUUAGACAAGGAGAGCGGUUGGGCAGCUUAGCGCGCAGUGGAAAGCCCACUCGUCUGGUUAAUCUACGCUUCAAAGAAGCCUAAAAAAUGGGUUAAUGCGGGGACCAGAUUAAAGUCGUGUGAACGCGGCUAUUUAAUGUAUCUUUCCUUCCCCUCCAUUCCAUUUGCUAGGAACAAAAUCCCGUGAAGGCGAAUCGCUUGUUUUAGCCCAAGCCCCGAUCCCUCUGUUCGUUGCGGGCAUUUCCUUCUGAGUAAACCUGGGGAAUAAACGGCCUGUCCGAGGCGAACGUGAUUUGCUUGCGAGGAAGAGUAGUUAGGAUCUUCACUCCUGUAAGAACUUGGGAGCUGGGCAAAGCAACGUUUGCUUUCUGCUCACCACUGCAUCACGGUUGGGUUCUCACGACAUGUUACUUCAGGCUAAAGUGAGGUUGGGUCGUUCGCGACUCAGGCGGUGGGGGAACCCCAGCCCUUAUUCCAGCACCUCUUGUGAACCAGGCGAUCGCGUGAAGCCGGGAGAUGGUCGCUUUCUUCGGGCAUCACAGGCCUGGUGGGAAACCAUCUUCGCGUGAAGCGAACCGCUGUGUAUUUUACGGCGGGGUGUACAUCAAAUUCACCAACCGAGAGAACGGCCAUUCCCCAAACAAUAAUCCUUGCACACUUGGGCGCCGGCUGGCCUGAUGUCCCACGUUCGCGAUUGAAAAAGAUAGAAACGAAGGCUGAGAAUGGGAAAGGCAUUAACUGUUGGAGGAGAUCCGCGGGACUCCCUGCGGGUUGUUUGGGGGGAAAGGAAUCUCUGGGUUGCGGGUUUGAGACACACACCGGCUUCUGAAGGUCCACGAGAGCCACUUGGGUGUUGGAUUAGGGGAAGGGAGCGCUGCAUAAACCGCUUUAAACGCCUAAAUCAAAGGCGGGAUAUAAAUCUAGCCACACAGAAUUAAUUAAUUAACCUCCAGGUACACCCGAGCACGGCUGUUGAAUCGAGAGAGGAAAGGCGGUUUUGCAAAGCUAAAAUGACCAACCGUUGGCACCCUCAGGGUUUCCUCUCUGCUUUUCUUCCCAUUUUCUGGACUCCACCAAGCCAGGGAGCCCUAAACUGAUCAUCCCCCCUGUCCAGCAAGGCUAAAAUGGGAUUGGCUCGCUUGGGGCUCAGAGUGCCGUGGGAAUGCAAACUCGAAGCGGCUCUGUAAGGUAGGGUGGCCUGUUUGAAAGGGGAGAGGGGGAGAAAUGGGAGUGCCCGAAUCCAGCAUCCUCUCUCCUGCCCCUUCCAAAGCAGCACAUAGGAUUACCAUGAAUAUUCAUAUUAUUUAUUGAUUGGGAGCCUUUACUGCUAAUAGUAAUAGCAUUGCUAUCAAUAAGAGCUCAGGAUUAUUCAUGCAUAGGAGGCAAACUUUUUGCUUGUUCCACGGGGGCUGCCUCCUCCUCCUCCCCCCCCCCUUUCCCCGCAGGGCAAGAGCUGCGUUCUCACAACAAGCUAAGCCAGCCUGAGUUCACCAUGCCUUCCUGUCCCCACUGCACCGCAAUUCCCACCCCACGCUCUGCCACAUGGGAUGAAGCACGGCGGUUAAGCCACAGGCAAGCCUCUGGGUUUAACUGGUUGUGGGAACACAGCCCUAAGACACAAGUGUGAUUUCUAGCCAGCCUUAGGAGGGUAGGAGUUGUCUGGAGGAGUUGCAGGUUCCCCCUAAAGCAGCCUUUCCCCAAGGGGUCCCUCACUGGCAGCGUGGGAUAUGGGGGGAUUAUUCAACGCAGUUGGAGAUUGUCCAGAUGCAGCUGGGAGAAGGCUGGGGGUCAUAGGUUCGGCCAUAGGUCGCUCCUCCUUGGUGUGACUGGCCUACCUCACAGGGUUGCCAUAACAACAAGAAGAGAAAGGGGAACCGCCUUAUGUUCAUUCAGGAAGAAAAUCCCAACUAGGACCUCAGCUUGUUAACCUGCUAGGUGCAGAACCAAUGUUGGUGUUGGACAUUUCCAACCAGAGUAGAAUCCGGUUGCCUCUCUCAUCCGGCCUCUGUUUUGAAAUAAACGCGGGUGAAUUGGACCCACGGUUUUUCUGCUUUGAUGUUUCUCUCCCCCGCCCCACCCUUAUUUUCUUUUCCAUUGUGUCUCAGCUCCAUCCUCUACCAGGUAACUUAAUCUCCAGAGUUCAGAGGCCGGUUCUGGAUGUGUGCGGGGAGCCUGAGCAGAGAGGCAACACCUGGAUGCAUUCGCAUGACACACCAGCCCACCUCGCCCUAGGGCAAUGUAGCCCCAGUUCAAGUGCACUGUGCAGAUCCUGGAAACUGGGGCUGCAAGCCUCAAGCCCUGGCAGUGGGUCUCCCUUCAACGGAAGCCCGCGACGUCUCCUUUGGGGUCUGGACCUGGAAGCUCCCCCGGAAUUCCCCAAACCUACUCGCGAGUAAAGGGCCUUUGCGGCUCUUCUGAAGCGUUUAAAACGAAAGCAAAGUGGGAGGCGUGCUCCUAAGCCGCGGAUCGGGCCCCUCCUUCCCGGACAAGCGUUAAAAAGGAGGGAAAAGACGCCGCAGAGGGGCGACCCCCGGAAUGGUCGAUCUCCCUUUGGGGCAGAAUGAACCUUAUUUAGGAGCUGGGGAGAAAAGAGCCCUUUUUUUUUUUAACCAUUUAAAAAGAGCCGCCUUAAUCCACCCAAUAAGUUGCAAACUGGUGUUUGAAACCGAAAGCCGACGGUUGAGAGUGGUAACAAGUUGAUGCCGCAACAUCCUCAUUCAUCAGCAUAAUUCUUAAUUAUUUUUCAUAAGAAUGCCAAUUAUUCAUCAUUAAUAGCACUUUUGGGAUCUCCGCAUUUUCCCAUAUGCAAGGAAAGGACGGUGAAAGUUUUUUUGGGGGGGGGGCGUUAUAAAUCUGAUCAUGGGGUGGGAGUUGUGGGGAGAGAGAGUUAACUCCAGAUGCACGGAACAAACCCCCGUUUUCAAAGAGAAUCUGGAGACUCGGUUCAACGCAAAUAAACAGCCCGGUAAGUCCGUC